AUUUCAAACCAGCUUUCUCUUUUGAAAAAGUAUUGCCAUCAACCAGAGUAGAAACCCUUUCUAUAUCUAACCUAAAGAGUUAAAUGAAGAAAAAAAAUGCCUGAAAGGACAAAUCGUAUGCAGUCUUCUCUGAUGAAGAUAUGCUGGGGGCUCCUAGGAGGCUGAUAGGGACUUAUUCCAUUUCUACUGGAAGGCUCUCAUUUCUUAGAGGCUGAAGGCCAGCACACUGGGGUUUUUUGUUGUUGUUUUGUUUUUAACUGGAGGGGUGCAAAAUCUGACCAUUAAAGAGAUCAUUUCCUGGCGUAAAUCUGGGUAACUUAUAGUCCAUGGCUGCUGCUCUGUCUCUUGAAUGGUCUGCAUGGGGUCUACUGGGAAAUAAGAUCUUACGCAAGGUCUCAUAGUGUAACAUUCUUUAUCUGCAGCAAAGCAGAAAGAGGUGUCUGUCUCCCCGGAGAUGGAUAGGGAGGUUGUUCCUCACUGAGUGGCAGCGCACAGAAUGAACAAACCCCUCCUCUUCUCAGUACCAUUAGCUACAUACCCCCCAAAUUUGGCACUUGCUGAUGAGAAACCUGGUCUGUGGAGUAGUCUUCUCCCUUGUAUUGGAAGCUCCACUGUGGUCUGGUCCUAUGAGGUAGAGCCUGGAUAAUGCAGUUUCUGGGAGACACUGCACAGCCUACAACCUUUGCUGUCUUUUGAAUGCAGUGGGUGGCAUGCUGCAGCCUAUAAGGAGGUGCUUGGUAUCCAAGAAGUGCUAAUUACUGUGACCACACAGAGGAUUUUACUGCCAGAAGUUCCUGUACCAUUAAAAUCCAUGCUUAAGCCAAUGUUCUGCUGUGAAAACAGGCUGUGCUGGAUAAGGAAGCAUUCGGCUGGAGGCAGUUAGUGGUGGGAUUUCUUUGGAAAUGGUUUUGUGAUCACUCAUUAAUUAGUAGUUUU
rnacentral:lncRNA from 1 species